rnacentral:rRNA from 1 species
CUACGGGGGGCUGCAGUGGGGAAUAUUGGACAAUGGGGGAAACCCUGAUCCAGCGAUGCCGCGUGUGUGAAGAAGGCCUGCGGGUUGUAAAGCACUUUUAAUGGAGAAGAGGAAGGUUAGAGAAAUAUGCUAACUGAAAGACGUUAUCCAAAGAAAAAGCACCGGCCAACUCUGUGCCAGCAGCCGCGGUAAUACAGAGGGUGCAAGCGUUAAUCGGAAUGACUGGGCGUAAAGGGCAUGUAGGUGGAACUUCAAGUUAGAUGUGAAAGAAACAGGCUUAACCUGUAGGUUGUCAUCUAAGACUGAAGAACUAGAGGACAGGAGAGGUAAGUGGAAUUUCCGGAGUAGCGGUGAAAUGCGUAGAGAUCGGAAAGAACACCAAUGGCGAAGGCAACUUACUGGCCUGGACCUGACACUGAGGUGCGAAAGCGUGGGUAUCGAACAGGAUUAGAUACCCGUGUAGUC